rnacentral:rRNA from 1 species
CAGCCGCCGCGGGAAUGCGUAGGGGGCAAGCGUUAUCCGGAAUUACUGGGUGUAAAGGGAGCGUAGACGGUUAAACAAGUCUGAAGUGAAAUGCCGGGGCUCAACCCCGGAGCUGCUUUGGGAACUGUAGAACUGGAGUGUCGGAGGGGUAAGCGGAAUUCCCAGUGUAGCGGUGAAAUGCGUAGAUAUUGGGAGGAACACCGGCGGCGAAGGCGGCUUACUGGACGACAACUGACGUUGAGGCUCGAAGGCGUGGGUAGCAAACAGGAUUAGAUACCCCCGUAGUCCCUGUCUCUUAUAC